ACCAUCACCUCCACUCAAAAGCAAUCAACGGCAAUAGAUAGUAGUAAAAGUACGGUGGUUGAAUAAUUUAGAAGCUUUUCGGCUUGUUUCACAGCUUCUUCUCUUUUGUCACUUGACUGAUAGAGCUGUGUGAUGUAUCAGUAACGACGAAGUGAUCAUUUCUGUCGGAUAACCAAAGAUGUGUGACCUUGUCAGGGCCGCGUGACGAAACACCCCGUGAAUACGAUAUUCUAGUAUAAUGCACGAUGACGCGUUUCUUCGACCAAACGGCGGUCAUAUUUGAAGCUGAAGGAAGAGAAAGAUAAUGACAUUGCUGAAUCGAUCGACCGGAUCAAUGAAAGGAAUCGAACGGAUUUACGAAUGAAGUUGAAAAGAA